rnacentral:tRNA from 5 species
UGGUGUAGCUCAGUUGGUAGAGCAGCUGAUUUGUAAUCAGCAGGUCAGGGGUUCGAGUCCGUUCACC